UCGCAAGCAGGAAGGACUCGAGACCCUUCACCAGUGCGGGAGACUCAGGCACUGGUGAAGAGUCUCGAGUCCUUCCUGCUUGCGA